rnacentral:misc_RNA from 1 species
ACAAACUUGGUCAUUUAGAGGAAGUAAAAGUCGUAACAAGGUCUCCGUUGGUGAACCAGCGGAGGGAUCAUUACCGAGUUUUUUUUACAGCUCCUAAACCCCCUGUGAACUUAUACCUUUACUGUUGCUUUGGCGGUGUCCUCGCCCUGUGAAGACGGGGCGGGCCCGCCAGGGGAUCGAAACUCUUGUAUUUUUUACCUAUUGGCAUUUCUGAGUGGAAUCAUAUAUAAUGAAUCAAAACUUUCAACAACGGAUCUCUUGGUUCUGGCAUCGAUGAAGAACGCAGC